rnacentral:misc_RNA from 1 species
CCGUCUGAGCUGCCAGUUCCCUUGUAGGUGAUAAUAUCAAUGCCUGGACCUCUCUACUAGAGGUAUCAACGAGUUGGCAAACAGUGAGGGCAAUCAUGGAGGUCUUGCCGGUACCGGAUUGCGCCUGAGCUAUCACAUCUCGGCCUUUGAUAAUGGGCAUAACUGCUCUCUGCUGUAUCGCAGACGGCUUCUCAAACCCGUAGGCAUAA